rnacentral:rRNA from 1 species
CAGCAGCCACGGUAAUGCGAAGGGGGCUAGCGUUGCUCGGAAUGACUGGGCGUAAAGGGCGCGUAGGCGGUUUUGACAGUCAGAUGUGAAAUUCCUGGGCUUAACCUGGGGGCUGCAUUUGAGACGUCAAGACUAGAGUGUGAGAAAGGGUUGUGGAAUUCCCAGUGUAGAGGUGAAAUUCGUAGAUAUUGGGAUGAACACCGGCGGCGAAGGCGGCAACCUGGCUCAUUACUGACGCUGAGGCGCGAAAGCGUGGGGAGCAAACAGGAUUAGAUACCCCGGUAGUCCCUGUCUCUUAUAC